rnacentral:rRNA from 1 species
UGGGGAAUAUUGCACAAUGGAGGAAACUCUGAUGCAGCGACGCCGCGUGAGUGAAGAAGUAGUUCGCUAUGUAAAGCUCUAUCAGCAGGGAAGAUAGUGACGGUACCUGACUAAGAAGCUCCGGCUAAAUACGUGCCAGCAGCCGCGGUAAUACGUAUGGUGCAAGCGUUAUCCGGAUUUACUGGGUGUAAAGGGAGCGUAGACGGAGUGGCAAGUCUGAUGUGAAAACCCGGGGCUCAACCCCGGGACUGCAUUGGAAACUGUCAAUCUGGAGUACCGGAGAGGUAGGCGGAAUUCCCGGUGUAGCGGUGGAAUGCGUAGAUAUCGGGAGGAACACCAGUGGCGAAGGCGGCCUACUGGGCACCAACUGACGCUGAGGCUCGAAAGUGUGGGUAGCAAACAGGAUUAGAUACCCUGGUAGUCCACACCGUAAACGAUGAUUACUAGGUGUUGGAGGAUUGACCCCUUCAGUGCCGCAGUUAACACAAUAAGUAAUCCACCUGGGGAGUACGACCGCAAGGUUGAAACUCAAAGGAAUUGACGGGGGCCCGCACAAGCAGUGGAGUAUGUGGUUUAAUUCGACGCAACGCGAAGAACCUUACCAAGUCUUGACAUCCCUUGACGAACAUAGAAAUAUGUUUUCUCUUCGGAGCAAGGAGACAGGUGGUGCAUGGUUGUCGUCAGCUCGUGUCGUGAGAUGUUGGGUUAAGUCCCGCAACGAGCGCAACCCUUAUCUUUAGUAGCCAGCGAGUAAAGUCGGGCACUCUAGAGAGACUGCCGGGGAUAACCCGGAGGAAGGUGGGGAUGACGUCAAAUCAUCAUGCCCCUUAUGACCAGGGCUACACACGUGCUACAAUGGCGUAAACAAAGGGAAGCGACCCUGUGAAGGCAAGCGAAUCCCAAAAAUAACGUCCCAGUUCGGAUUGUAGUCUGCAACUCGACUACAUGAAGCUGGAAUCGCUAGUAAUCGCGAAUCAGCAUGUCGCGGUGAAUACGUUCCC